GGGAGGUAGUGACAAGAAAUAACAAUACAGGGCUUUCGUCUUGUAAUUGGAAUGAUGGUGAUGUACAACCUCACCAGAGUACCAAUUGGAGGGCAAGUCUGGUGCCAGCAGCCGCGGUAAUUCCAGCUCCAAUAGCGUAUAUUAAACUUGUUGCAGUUAAAAAGCUCGUAGUUGUAUUUCAGCCUCGCGUYUUUUCCCUCUUUUCGGGUCUUUUCGCUGGCUUUUUUUUUACUUUGAGAAAAUUAGAGUGUUUCAAGCAGACUUUUGUCUUGAAUACUUCAGCAUGGAAUAAUAGAGUAGGACCUUGGUUCUAUUUUGUUGGUUUCGAGCCUUGGUAAUGGUUAAUAGGAACGGUUGGGGGCAUU
rnacentral:rRNA from 1 species